rnacentral:misc_RNA from 2 species
AGCAGCCGCGGUAAUUCCAGCUCCAAUAGCGUAUAUUAAAGUUGUUGCAGUUAAAAAGCUCGUAGUUGAAUUUUGGGUCUGGCCGGGCGGUCCGCCCUCUGGGUGAGCACUGUUCCGACGCCGGGCCUAUCCUUCUGGUGAGUCGGCAUGUCCUUUAUUGGGUGUGUCGGGGAACCAGGACCAUUACCUUGAAAAAAUUAGAGUGUUCAAAGCAGGCGUAUGCUCGAAUACAUUAGCAUGGAAUAAUGAAAUAGGACGCGUGGUGCUAUUUUGUUGGUUUCUAGAACCGCCGUAAUGAUUAAUAGGGAUAGUUGGGGGCAUUAGUAUUCAAUUGUCAGAGGUGAAAUUCUUGGAUUUAUUGAAGACUAACUUCUGCGAAAGCAUUUGCCAAGGAUGUUUUCAUUAAUCAAGAACGAAAGUUAGGGGGAUCGAAGACGAUCAGAUACCGUCGUAGUCUUAACCAUAAACUAUGCCGACUAGGAAUCGGGCGAUGUUAUUCUCAUGACUCGCCCGGCGCCUU